rnacentral:rRNA from 1 species
GACGGAGUGACGUCGCGUGUGGGACGAAGGCCUUCGGGUCGUAAACCACUGUCAGUGGGAAAGAUGGGAGUCGGGGCUAAUACCUCCGGCAUCUGACGGUACCUGCAGAGGAAGCCCCGGCCAACUCUGUGCCAGCAGCCGCGGUAAGACAGAGGGGGCAAGCGUUGCUCGGAAUUACUGGGCGUAAAGGGCGCGUAGGCGGGAUGGCAAGUCGGUCGUGAAAUCCCUCGGCUCAACCGAGGAACGUCGAUCGAUACUGCUGUUCUUGAGUAUGGCAGAGGAGACUGGAAUUCCCGGUGUAGCGGUGAAAUGUGUAGAUAUCGGGAGGAACACCGGUGGCGAAGGCGGGUCUCUGGGCAAUUCCUGACGCUGAGGCGCGAAAGCGUGGGGAGCAAACGGGAUUAGAUACCCCGGUAGUCCACGCUGUAAACGAUGACUACUAGGUGUGGGGGGGUUCAGUCCCUUCCGUGCCGCAGCUAACGCAUUAAGUUCUCC